GUCCCUGUAGCGCAAUGGAUAGUGCGUUGGACUUCGAAUCCAAAGGUCGUGGGUUCGAAUCUCACCUGGGGAUG
rnacentral:tRNA from 1 species